CUUAUAAGAUUGUUAAGAGCCUUAGGACUAUCUAUGAAUCAUGGCUGGUUCUAGAAAAUCAGUUUUUUAUGUAAUGCAAUAUCAUAGGUCAGUUGUCUACAAUCCAGACUUACUGUAUACUCUGUUUCCUCAAUGGUCAAUACUUACAUCGGGUUGAACUCCUCCCCCUUGUUAGCCAGGGGGCGGGGCUUCAAAGCUAGUUAGGAGUUUUAGGACUACCUUGGAGUUUUGAAAAUCUCCAAGACACGGAGCACUAGCGGGGCUAAAACCACUAGUUUGUUGUUCAAACAUUUUUAAAAUCAUAGAGAGCACAAACUUGACACGCUUGAUGCGUUUCGUGGACCAAACCACUUCCUCAUAAGCUGGUUGUGGUUUGAACAAUAAACGAGUGUUUUUAGCCCCGUGAGUGCUCCGUGUCUUGGAGAUUUUCAUUUGGAUUUCACACAACGAGAAGCGGUAUACGCGUUGCAGCACAGCGUGGAGGCGUCCGGAACAGUGAGUGCUGCCUUAAUUUUGUUCCUUUCCUCUACCUUGGAGUUGUGGCCAGAAUCAGUAUUACCCAGGGAUGGAUCUUCAAAGCUAUCUGGUAGUUUUAGGACUACCUUGGAAUUGUAACUUGGAUUUUAUGUGGUACAAAAAGGUUCAUUGUCUGGCCAUUAUAAUAUCUUUUACAUCUGGGAGAAAGGUUAAAGAAAAGCAGCAACCAUGAGUAGUGAGGCUGAGAUGGCGGCUGCCCAGUUUCUCUGAAAGACAGAGAAGGAGAGGAUUGAGGCACGAAACAGACUAUACUAUGCAAAAACAUCUGUCUUUGUGAUUGAUAAAAAAGAGAUGUACGUCAAAGGCAUCAUCCAGAGCCGUGAGGGUGGCUAAUCCACAGUAAAGAAAGAAGACAAUACUGUAAAUUAACAGUUUGUGUUAACCAUGCAUUCUAGUAGAAGAAUUAUAUAUAUAAGUAUAUAUAUAAGUUCCCACUGGAGAUAAAAUGCAUCUGUGCUGUCUAGAACCGUUUAAAUGGGUUUUAAAUUAAAAAGACCCAUAUCCAUGAUAAAAAUAGUAGUAUCUCUAUAUGCCCCUUGAUGUGCUGCAGAAACAAAUCUUAAUGACAUAUUCACAUUAAAGUGUAAUUUUUUUCAGACUGUAAUGAUGAUAAGUCUUCCCUAUGAACCCACCAAAAUUUUUAUAAAAUUGAAGACAUGCCCAUUUGAUCUAACCAUCUGUCCUGUAUAAAGUGUUAUGCAGCC